UUCCUCCAGACUCCUUACCCCUCAGAUCUAAAUAUUGAUCUGAGUGGCGACAGAAAGGUGGGAAAGUAAAACCGAGUGCGCUUGGAGUCCUUCGUGACCCGCAAGUUUCCUUUCAAACAUGG
rnacentral:snoRNA from 1 species